rnacentral:rRNA from 1 species
AGAGUUUGAUCCUGGCUCAGAACGAACGCUGGCGGCGUGCUUAAUACAUGCAAGUUGAACGAGAAAGCGCCCUUCGGGGUGUGAGUAGAGUGGCGAACGGGUGAGUAACACGUAAGCAACCUACCUUUAAGUCUGGAAUAACCUUGCCAACGCGGGGCUAAUACCGGAUGUGGUCUUUGUAUCUUAUGGUACUUAGAUUAAAGAUGACCUCUCCUUGGAAGUUAUUGCUUAGAGAUGGGCUUGCGGACCAUUAGUUUGUUGGUGGGGUAACGGCCUACCAAGACUGCGAUGGUUAGCCGACCUGAGAGGGUGAUCGGCCACAUUGGGACUGAGAUACGGCCCAGACUCCUUCGGGAGGCAGCAGUAGGGAAUUUUGCGCAAUGGACGAAAGUCUGACGCAGCAACGCCGCGUGAGGGAUGAAUGUCUUCGGAUUGUAAACCUCUGUUGAGUGGGAAGAAAAGACUCGUAACUAAUAUUUGCGAGUUAUGACGGUACCAUUCGAGGAAGCUCCGGCUAACUACGUGCCAGCAGCCGCGGUAAUACGUAGGGAGCAAGCGUUGUUCGGAAUCACUGGGCGUAAAGGGAGAGUAGGCGGAUCGGUAAGUUAGGAGUUAAAUGCACGGGCUUAACCCGUGACCUGCUUUUAAUACUGCCAGUCUUGAGUAUGGGAGAGGGCGAUGGAAUUCCAGGUGUAGCGGUGGAAUGCGUAGAUAUCUGGAAGAACACCAGUUGCGAAGGCGGUCGCCUGGCCCAAUACUGACGCUGAUGCUCGAAAGCUAGGGGAGCGAACAGGAUUAGAUACCCUGGUAGUCCUAGCCGUAAACGAUGGACACUAGUUGCUGGAGAAGUCAAUCUUUUCAGUGACGAAGCUAACGCAUUAAGUGUCCCGCCUGGGGAGUACGCUCGCAAGGGUGAAACUCAAAGGAAUUGACGGGGGCCCGCACAAGCGGUGGAGCAUGUGCUUUAAUUCGAUGCAACGCGAAGAACCUUACCUGGGUUUGACAUGGGAGUGAAACUUUCCAGAGAUGGAUUGCCUUCCUUCGGGAACACUCUACACAGGUGCUGCAUGGUUGUCGUCAGCUCGUGUCGUGAGAUGUUGGGUUAAGUCCCGCAACGAGCGCAACCCCUGUCCUUAGUUGCCAGCGAGUAAUGUCGGGAACUCUAGGGAGACUGCCUGGAUUAACCAGGAGGAAGGUGGGGAUGACGUCAAAUCCUCAUGGCCCUUACGCCCAGGGCUAGACACGUGCUGCAAUGGCUGAUACAAUGGGGUGCCAAACCGCGAGGUGGAGCUAAUCCCUCAAAAUCAGUCUCAGUUCGGAUUGGAGUCUGCAAUUCGACUCCAUGAAGGUGGAAUCGCUAGUAAUCGCGGAUCAGCAUGCCGCGGUGAAUACGUUCCCGGGCCUUGUACACACCGCCCGUCAAGCCAUGAAAGACGGCAGUGCCCGAAGUCGUUCCUCUAACCCGCAAGGGAAGAGUACGCCGAAGGUAAGGCUGUUAAUUGGGGCUAAGUCGUAACAAGGUA